AAAGUCUGCCAGACGGUUGCUUGCCAGUUUAGAUUGGUAAGAGGAAAGUCCGGACAACACAGAGCACGACAAUCGUUAACAACGAUCGGGGGAAACCUUAGGGAAAGUGCCACAGAAACGUAUACCGCCUAUUAUUAGGUAAGGGUGAAAAGAGUAGAGUAAGAGCCUACAGCUUGGUCUGGUGACAGGUCAAGAGGGCAAACCCUGUCGGUUGCAAAGAGAUUCGUGAUGAUUGCUCGUCUAGCGAAUCGUUAACUGCUUGAAUUGAUCAGCAAUGGUCAAUCUAGAUAGAUAACCGUCUAAUACAGAAUCCGGCUUAUAGACAGACUAUUAAA
rnacentral:RNase_P_RNA from 1 species